UACGUAGGGUGCGAGCGUUUGUCCGGAAUUAUUGGGCGUAAAGAGCUCGUAGGCGGCUUGUCGCGUCGUCCGUGAAAACCUGCAGCUCAACUGCAGGCUUGCGGUCGAUACGGGCAGGCUAGAGUUCGGUAGGGGAGACUGGAAUUCCUGGUGUAGCGGUGAAAUGCGCAGAUAUCAGGAGGAACACCUAUAGCGAAGGCAGCUUGCUGGGACGACACUGACGUAAGGCGCGAAAAGCGUGGGGAGCGAACAGG
rnacentral:rRNA from 1 species